rnacentral:lncRNA from 1 species
CAGAUUAAUAUUUGAUUCAGGAGGAACUUCCAUGGAGAUUACAACAAUAAGUCCUCAGGCGAACCAUCAGAUUUGAGGACAAAUCCUUUCCAAGAGGGAGGGGAUGAUACGCGGGGCCCAAGCCCAAUGUCUUUAGUUUAGUAUUUCUUUUAAUUGUAUUAGAGAUGUGUACAAUGUGUUAGGCAUGUGGUACAUUUAGAGUUAAUGGUAUAAAAUAUCGACUCAUCAAAAUAGACCACACUUAGUCUUUUGCACUCUUAGGCAAAAUCAAGACGCAAAACAGGGAAUAGUACAGAGGACAUCAGGAAGUUGACACAGACUCAUCACACAGAAACAAAGACUCACAAGGAAAGAAACAAACAGAAUUACACAAUUCUCAAGAAAUCUAGACGAUGAAAGUAAGUGGACAGUAUCCCACACAGAAUCAAGAAAAGCAGAUACUCAUGAAAUCAUCCAAGCAGUUCAAAGCAUGACAAAAUGAUCAAUCAGUUCAAGAGGUGAAUCAAAAGCACAAAACCUCACAGAUGCACACUAUCAGUGUUUCUCUCAAGUGUCUAGGAUAAAC